UCAGAUAAUCAAAAUCUAUGACUAUCAGGAUGGAUUGCAGGUGAUCCCCUUGGACAAAGAUCCUAAAUCGGUGGCCACAAACGUCGGCUUGCCUUGUCGGAUGAUUUGAUUACUGAUUUAUUGUGGAUAGAAUCUAUGCUUCAGGUCCAAACCCCGGAUUUUUUUAAUACUGGAUGAGCCUCUUGCUGGUUUUGAGAGUUAGCAGCUUUAGUUGAUCGAUAUUGGAGGAUGGAAAUGGGCGGAGUUCUGAGAGAAGAGUCCCGGCAAUAUAAUAUUUGGCUUUGAUGUUGUUUCUUUGUCAACUUGUGAUGCUAUGAGGCAUGAUUGCAAAAUCUCCCAGAAAAUUGUAACUUUGUCUUCUCAGGUGCUCUGAUUACCUUGUAAAGUACUAUUGGAUUUAGGAGCCCCACAUUAACAUUCUUGCCGCUCCUGAUAUAUCGACAGGCCCCACAGGGAUCUUUCUAGGUUACGGCAUGCUGAGAAAGAAGCUGGUGUAAACUUGGAGACAAAUGUCAUGCAUAUAUUUUCAUUUCAUUAGAUGACAUGAAGCAACAGAGAAAAAGCGGACUGACAAAAUGGACCAUAAUUGGUGCAGUAGGUGUUGUACAUAUCCCUCGUGGUUCUAUACUUUAUCAAUCUAGCAAUUGGAGUCAGGUUAUAGAAUUAUAUGAAAGCGGCUGCCUUUGCCUGAUAUUGAAUGUGUAGCUCAAGAGAGUGGUGUUUGGAUUAGGAUUAGAUCUUUUUACCGUUUGCUCUUCCUUUGAUAGAUACGUUUGACAAUUUUGUCAGCCUUGAUAUUUUAUACUAUUUCCAUUUUCUCAGAGCUUUUAGCCAGUCUAAAAUGGUGUUUCCUCGUUCCUGUGUUGGAAAUAAACUACUCCAAUAAAGAGAGGAAUGACUCUAUGCUUAGCUUACUGUUACAUGAACGACAUGC